AGGAGUGAAGCAAACAUUUCAGAAAUAGCCUCUUGGUGACCGUGUCCAGAGAAAGAUGACCAAAAUGAUGAAGGGUCUAGACACCAUGUCUUAUGAGGAGAAACUUAAGGAGCUGGACAUGUUUUGGAGCUGGAGAAGAGAAGGUUAAGAGGACGAAUUGAAGCACCUAGUUUGGGCUCUACAGGCUAAUGGUUACUCCAGUUCAGACAUCAGAAGGGCUGUCAGAAAAACCCACAGGAGUGAAGAUGAACAACCACCUAAAAGGAAGUUAUCUCCAAUGAGGCUAUCAUAUCAAGAAAGAAAAGAAAAGAAGUAAGAACCUAAGGAUGAGUCCAAUAUUCUGUUCUCAUAGUGGGUGGCCCGUGCCUGGAGAAGCCAACAAUCAGGAAACAGCAGCAUAAUACCAGAGGCAACAUCUCAAUCCUGCUUUACCAAGCAGCAGCUACUGCAAGCAACAGAGACCUGUUCUUCUGUUGACUGAGAUUAAACCGACUGACUUUUCCACACCUCUCCCAUGAACAAUCUUUGUUAUGACUAUUGGAAGCAGGAUCCCUCCCAAAAUUCCUCCUCAUACUGAAUUUCCCUCAUGAGACUGACAGAAGAUAC